ACACUCAUGUUUCACCUCAAAUCGUAUAAAUCUUUCGCCUUUUACUAAAGAUUUCCGUGGGGAGGAACACAAUGAGUCUAAAUUAAUUUUUUGUCGCCCUACUUCAACGUAGGGCU